GACGAACGCUGGCGGCGUGCUUAACACAUGCAAGUCGAACGGAAAGGCCCUGCUUUUGUGGGGCGCUCGUGUGGCGAACGGGUGAGUAACACGUGAGUAACCCGCCCCUGUAUUUGGGAUAUCUUCACGAAAAUGGGGCUCAUACCGGAUAGGAGCUCUUGCUGCAUGGGGUGGGAUGGAAAGUUUCGGCGGUUGGGGAUGGACUCGCGGCUUAUCAGCUUGUUGGUGGGGUAGUGGCUUACCAAGGCUUUGACGGGUAGCCGGCCUGAGAGGGUUACCGGCGACAUUGGGCCUGAGAUAGGGCCCAGUAUCGUACGGGAGGCAGCAGUGGGAAGUAUUGCACAAUGGGCGGAAGCCUGAGGCAGAAACGCCGCGUGCGGGAUGACGGCCUUCGGGUUGAAAACCGCUUUCGCCUGUAACGAAGCGUUAGUGACGGUAAUGGGUAAAGAAGCACCGGCUAACUACGUG
rnacentral:rRNA from 1 species